rnacentral:rRNA from 1 species
UACGUAGGGGGCUAGCGUUGUCCGGAUUUAUUGGGCGUAAAGAGCGUGUAGGCGGUCAGCACAAGUCAGUUGUGAAAUCUCCGGGCUUAACUCGGAAAGGUCAACUGAUACUGUGCGACUAGAGUGCGGAAGGGGCAACUGGAAUUCUCGGUGUAGCGGUGAAAUGCGUAGAUAUCGAGAGGAACACCUGCGGCGAAGGCGGGUUGCUGGGCCGACACUGACGCUGAUGCGCGAAAGCCAGGGGAGCGAACGGG